rnacentral:rRNA from 1 species
GACGAACGCUGGCGGCGUGCCUAAUACAUGCAAGUCGAACGCAGUGGGGACGGGUGAGUAACACGUGGGUAACCUCCCAUCAGAGGGGAUAACACUUGGAAACUGGUGCUAAACCGAUACGGGUGGAUGGACCCGCGGGGCAUUAGCGAGUUGGUGAGGUAACGGCUCACCAAGGCCAAGAUGCAUAGCCGACCUGAGAGGGUGAUCAGCCACACUGGGACUGAGACACGGCCCAGACUCCUACGGGAGGCAGCAGUGGGGAAUCUUCGGCAAUGGACGAAAGUCUGACCGAGCAACGCCGCGUGAGUGAAGAAGGUUUUCGGAUCGUAAAGCUCUGUUGUUAGGGAGGCGUUAUCUAACCAGAAAGCCACGGCUAACUACGUGCCAGCAGCCGCGGUAGUAC